GGGGGCGAAACGGAUUCGACGGGAUUGCAGACGCCGGGGUAGCACGCCGAGGCCCACUAACCUCGUUAAACCGGUGGACAACCACAAACGCUAACAACAACUUAGCGCUGGCUGCUUAAGGCAGUCCGUCCUCCGGGUUCCCCUCCCGAGGGAAUCCGGUCAGGGCGUGACCAAUUCGGGAUAGCUGUUCGGAACGCCUGAGUUCGAACGGCGAAACUAAUCAGGCUGGCCUCGCGCCCGUGACUUUCCGGACUCGGCGGGUAAGAGGCGAGACGUUACGAACCGGAUAAGCGUGUAGAAGCCCCAGGCCGAACUUUUCCGGACGCGGGUUCGACUCCCGCCGCCUCCACCA
rnacentral:tmRNA from 1 species